GCAGGCCAUCUCAUGUACACAGAGGAGACUGGCAGUACUGCAGUUUAACUAACGCUGAGCCCAGAAAGACAAUUCCCAUAGAUGUCCCCAUAGUAAGUCCAUUUUCAAAAAUACACUUUCGUUAUCACAUUUGUGCCAAAAAUAUCCAUUUCAUUUUUCCAUGAAUUGUCUUUGAGGCAGAUUUUUUUUCCUUCACUCAGCCGAAGUUAUUAACGUUUUAUAUUCAUGCUAUUACAUGGACGAGCUUGUGUGACAUGCACACACAGAAGGAAAAACAAUGAAAAUCAUUCAUGCACUCUCGUCCAGGGUCCUCAUGAAUAGAAGGGAUCCAGCUUUUGUGAAAUUAACAGAUUUGACUUUACUUAGCAGGUUAGGAGAACUUUCAUAGCCGGUUAGGAGAAUUUAUACAGCAGGUUAGGAUAAUUAGGUUGUUAGGAAAAGGGUUAGGGUUAGCCGGAUCCAUUCUAGCCAUGACCCUCAUUGCGGACCUCCUCUCAGUGAUCUCAUAUCACACAGCCUCAGGGACUGUGGAGGUGCAGCACUGCAGUGUGUGUUUGAAGACUUUCUGUGUCUGAGAGGAGUGGAGAGCUGGGAGAGUUCAAGGUGACUGUGGCGAGGACCAGUUGCGGGGAGCAUACUGCUGUACGCACACAGCCAUGGAGCUAUCAACAGCACUUCCUGUGGUAUAGUCAUCACUAGUAAGACAGGAGGGAGGAGGAAGGGGAGGAAGUCGAGAGACAGGUGGUGGAGGAAGUUUGAGAUGAGGGAGAGUCUGAGUGUUGGACUUUCUAAGUCUGUGUUCACUGUUUUCUCUUUCUCUUUCCAAAUAGCCUACAUGUCAAUGGAAUCUGGAGACACUGUGGAUGUUUGGUGUGGAGAGGACAGUGGACUCAGUGGAGAACAUUGCAGCCACUUGGCAGUGAGGGGAUUCGAUUAAUCUCGCCCGGUGCCUGUGUAGGCGUGUUUUGCACCGGCUAAAAAUGUAUUGCAUUCUAUUUGGAACCGGGCUGCCUCCCGGGUGUGGUGCCUCCAGGGUGUAAGCCAGGCGCCACACUCUGGCUGACUGCGAAGUCGGCUCAUAACAAAAGUGACAAAGGUUAAGCACACGGAGUAAUGACUAGGAUUCUUUGUUUUCACAUGCAAAAGUGAUUGCUUUUGAUAAAAACACUUUUGAAAAGCUCCUCCCUCACCGCUUUUGCCCGUUAAUGUCAAGGGCCAUAGAUUGGUGCACCGCGGCUCAGGUUAAUCAACCUCCCUCAGUGUUGGCACUACUGCUACAUUACACUAUUAGGAGUGUUCCAAUAUUUACAUGUUUGGGUGUAUGUGUGUCAAAGGUGAGGGAUGAUAAGCCGGGCUUUGAGAAGAUGCAUCUGGUGUGUUGAGGAUAUGCAGAUGCACUCCAAUUUCCUGGCCAGAAAGGAGGUGUUGAAGGCGGAGUAUGCCUCAUACCUGCAGCAGCACUCGGAUCUCCGCGCCAUGAUGGCUGACUUCUUGCAGUUCCUGUGACUAUAAAAACCGAGUGACAUUAUCAUGUUCACCUGCAAGGACCUCACGGGGGUCGCCUCCCGCCGAUUCAACACCUUUUCACCUUGAGGACACACACUAUGGCUGUGUCUCAAUAGUCUAAUAGCUUCCUCUCACAGGCACUUUAGUGAGGACAAUACUAUUCUGGUUGGCAGUCACUAGUAUGUACAGUGGUGGCCCUCGAGAUCUAGAGUACUGAUCAAGUAUGAAUGCUUUUAUGGAUGUUUAGUUUUUUAUUUUGUGAUAGUUUUUACUGUCUACUGAUUUUGUUUUGAUUCUGAAUUGAAACAAAUUCCGAUCAACUCUGUUGAUAUGGCAAUCGCAAGUUACACUUAUGUCAGUUGGUGUGCAUAAAUACAAUUUAUUAUUUAAUGUCUUGUAUGUCUCUCAUGCUUAAUAUCGGUUAAUCACUUUAUCCUUUGGUGAGAAUUACAGUAACUGCUACUUUGCUUUGGCUCUGAUGUGAUCAACCCAUACAUUUCUAAGAAAGUUAUACAUGAAAUUAUGCUCGUCUGACUCAACAAGUAAUGCUAUUGUUUGUAAAACUUUGCUGCCCAGAUUUCCUAGGAAUGGGACAGCCUUUGAAUAACACAAUUAUGUGUGUGUAUAAUACUCCAGACCAUCUUGUACUAUAGACUGAGACGGCAUUGUCUUUCCAUACCAAACUGUCUCUACUAGGUAGAGGAAACAUCUCAAACCAUUUGAGUGCAAAUGAAAAGCAACAUUUCAUCCAUGUAUCUACUGAUGCACUGGCACUUCAAUGCACUUAAGAGGCAGGGUCAACUCAGUUAGUGGGGACAGGUCAGGACGGUGAUCACACACCAGAUACAGCAUCGUUACACUCUUGCUCUAUACAUUUUCUAAGUGCUUUAGUUUCAGUUUAAGGAAAUGUAUUGUGACCUAAAAACAUAAUGUAGCUUUU